rnacentral:rRNA from 1 species
AGUCGAGGGGCAGCAUUUUAGUUUGCUUGCAACUAAAGAUGGCGACUGGCGCACGGGUGAGUAACACGUAUCCAACCUGCCGAUAACUCGGGGAUAGCCUUUCGAAAGAAAGAUUAAUAUCCGAUGGUAUAUUAAAACCGCAUGGUUUUACUAUUAAAGAAUUUCGGUUAUCGAUGGGGAUGCGUUCCAUUAGUUUGUUGGCGGGGUAACGGCCCACCAAGACUACGAUGGAUAGGGGUUCUGAGAGGAAGGUCCCCCACAUUGGAACUGAGACACGGUCCAAACUCAUACGGGAGGCAGCAGUGAGGAAUAUUGGUCAAUGGACGAGAGUCUGAACCAGCCAAGUAGCGUGAAGGAUGACUGCCCUAUGGGUUGUAAACUUCUUUUAUAUGGGAAUAAAGUAUUCCACGUGUGGGAUUUUGUAUGUACCAUAUGAAUAAGGAUCGGCUAACUCCGUGCCAGCAGCCGCGGUAAUACGGAGGAUCCGAGCGUUAUCCGGAUUUAUGGGGUUUAAAGGGAGC